AAACCGAGGCAGGGAAGCUCUACGUCUUGGGGGCCGCAUGGUGCCGAGAGCGCAGACCAGACCCGCCCCGCCUCUCCGUGCCACGCACGCGCUCGGCUCCGCGCUUAAUGGUUAGUUGGGUAACAGCCCGCGGUGCCCUAGUUGCCCGGGUGGGGUCGGAGGGACCCUCGCGGGAGGGGAGACCACGUCUCCAGGGGGUGGGAGGCGGCCUCACUGAGGGCUUCGCAGGCAGCUGCGUGACCUCGGAGCGCGGCGCUAGUGGAGGGGCGGCCAGGUGGUGUGGCCACCAGCUCCCGGAGAGGAAUGUGGCCAGGUGACCUGGGGUAAUCACUUCAUCCUCACAGGAAAUGCUUUUUUUGUCUGGAAGAAUAGUGACUGGGCUGUAAAAACAAAUGCCCCUGCCUUCAGGCUCUCUGGGCAAGAUAUACCCCCUUGGGAGGUGACUGGGGCUGAGCCGAGGUGGGGUUUGUUUUGGGGAUUGUGGGGUGCCACCUGUAACCUUCUAAUCUUUAAACUCUAUUUGUUCCUCUUCCUUUAAUUAAACCUGACAAAUAAUUUUCCCCAGUUCGUGAUUCCCGUGACCCAUGACUUUGCUCUGCCCAUAGAAAUUCUCUUCUAAUUCCUUCCCCUCCCUGUUCUCUGCUUUGUAGUACGUGAACCUUAUUAUUAUUAUUAUUAUUAUUAUUAUUAUUAUUAUUAUUAUUAUUAUUAUUGAGACGAGUCUCGCUCUGUCGCCCAGGCUGGAGUGCAGUGGCGCGAUCUCGGCUCAUCGCAACCUCCAUCUCCCGGGUUCAAGCAAUUCUCUGCCUCAGCCUCCCGAGUGGCUGGGAUUACAGAAGCAGUAUCUGACUGUGUUGCCCAGGCUGGUCUUGAACUCCUGGUCUCAAAUGAUUCUCCUGCUUUGGCCUCCUAAAGUGCUGGGAUUACAGCAACGCGAAUGAAAUUUGGUGCCAUCACUCGGAUCAGGGGACCUCCCUUGGGAGAUCAAUCCCCUGUCCUCCUGCUCUUUGCUCCAUGAGAAAGAUCCACCUACGAUCUCUGCUCCUCAGACCAACCAGCCCAAGGAACAUCUCACCAAUUUUAAAUCGGAUCUUCUCAGCUUAGCGGCUGAAGACUGAUGCUGCCAGAUGACUUUGGAAGCCCCCUGGACCAUCACAGAUGCCCAGCUUUGGAUAACUCUUACAGUGGAGGAAGACAGGAAUAUCAGGUCUCUGAGCCCAAGCUAAGCCAUCAUAUCCCCUGUGACCUGCAUGUAUGCAUCCAGAUGGCCUGAAGUAACUGAAGAAUCACAAAAGAAGUGAAAAUGGCGCGUGCCUGCCUUAACUGAUGACAUUACCUUGUGAAAUUCCUUCUCCUGGCUCAUCCUGGCUCAAAAGCUCCCCCACUGAGCACCUUGUGACCCCCACUCCUGCCUAACAGAGAACAAUCCCCUUUGACUGUAAUUUCCCACUACCUACCCAAAUCCUAUAAAACGGCCCCACCCCUAUCUCCAUUCACUGACUCUUUUUGGACUCAGCCCACCUGCACCCAGGUGAAAUAAACAGCCUUGUUGCUCACACAGAACCUGUUUGGUGGUCUCUUCACACGGCGAGUGAAAUUUAGUAUUGUACCAAUGGUAAAUUGACAAAUGUACCACGUUUAUAUAAGAUUAACAGCAGAGGAGGCCGGGGGCGGUGGCUCAUGCCUGUAAUCCCAGCACUUUGGGAGGCCGAGAUGGGCGGAUCACGAGGUCAGGAGAUCAAGACCAUCCUGGCUAACACAGUGAAACCCUGUCUCUACUAAAAAUACGAAAAAAAAUUAGCUGGGCGUGGUGGUGGGCAC
rnacentral:lncRNA from 1 species